UGACUAUGGUAACUUGAGUAACAAUGAGAACCAUGUGCAUCCUCGCUGAACACUAUUCAUGGUCAGAAUCCAUGGCAAGUUUUAUGUUUGUAGCCUGCAAAGCACCAAGGCAUCUGAGAGGCAGAAAUAUCUAAAGGGAAACAGGAAGGAGGAGGAGGAGAUUUUCUACAAGAAGGGUGACUGCCCCUUUUCUCCAGGCCCUUUCUGUCUUCCUCUGGGGUCUGCUGCUUCUCUACACAACACUGGGACCCAGAGAAGAAUGGCUCCUCUGUUUGCCAGCCUGCCUGCAUAUUGCAUCCAUUGCUCCUGCCAGCCAGCCUUUCAGAUAAUUCCAUAUUGGAAGCAAGUUUCAAGGCUAAGAAGUUAUUACUGUCUUUACCGGAACAAAAUCUUUAAUAUGACGCUGAGAAAAAUUAAUAAUAAAGGAAGAUUUUCACUAAGCUCUCAUGUAAACAGAAGUGGUACUGGGAGGAGAAAAAACCACCAGACAGCAGAGAAGAAAACAACUUUGGAAAAUUCUUUCAGUCAUUUAUUAAUAAAUAUUUGUCCAAAAACCUACUAUGCAACAAGCCUGGUGCUGGCUUCUGGGGACAAAGCAGUAAACAAAUCAUACUCCUAGAACUGACAGCCUAAUUCUUGGAAGACACAUUAACAAUGAUUGCACAUAUAACUAUAUAAUCACUACUGAGAAGUUUUAGUAAAAGAAAUCUGCAGGGUUCUAUGACAAUGAAACCUGCAACAAAAAUUCCAAGAAAAUAGCAAAACCCCAAGGAAAUCACAGAAAGACCAGGAGAAGCAUUUUUAUGCUGACUUUAGAAACACCAGCAGAGCUAUAUUUCCAGGAUUUUUCAUUUUCUUAAAAAUCAAUAAUUAGAAACAGAAAACAGCUACAGUAAUUUCAAUAAAAUAUUGUAGAUAUAAUUUAUAGAUUUAAAU
ensembl:lncRNA